AGCGAACGCUGGCGGCAGACCUAACACAUGCAAGUCGAGCGGCCCUUCGGGACAGCGGCGGACGGGUGAGUAACGCGUGGGAACGUGCCCUUUGGUACGGAACAACUGAGGGAAACUUCAGCUAAUACCGUAUGUGCCCUACGGGGGAAAGAUUUAUCGCCAUUGGAGCGGCCCGCGUUAGAUUAGCUAGUUGGUAGGGUAAUGGCCUACCAAGGCGACGAUCUAUAGCUGGUCUGAGAGGAUGAUCAGCCACACUGGGACUGAGACACGGCCCAGACUCCUACGGGAGGCAGCAGUGGGGAAUCUUGCGCAAUGGGCGAAAGCCUGACGCAGCCAUGCCGCGUGAAUGAUGAAGGUCUUAGGAUUGUAAAAUUCUUUCACCGGGGACGAUAAUGACGGUACCCGGAGAAGAAGCCCCGGCUAACUUCGUGCCAGCCGCCGCCGUAAGAC
rnacentral:rRNA from 1 species